rnacentral:rRNA from 1 species
UGCAAGUCGAACGGUAACAGGUCUUCGGACGCUGACGAGUGGCGAACGGGUGAGUAAUACAUCGGAACGUGCCCAGUCGUGGGGGAUAACUACUCGAAAGAGUAGCUAAUACCGCAUACGAUCUGAGGAUGAAAGCGGGGGACCUUCGGGCCUCGCACGAUUGGAGCGGCCGAUGGCAGAUUAGGUAGUUGGUGGGAUAAAAGCUUACCAAGCCGACGAUCUGUAGCUGGUCUGAGAGGACGACCAGCCACACUGGGACUGAGACACGGCCCAGACUCCUACGGGAGGCAGCAGUGGGGAAUUCUGGACAAUGGGCGAAAGCCUGAUCCAGCAAUGCCGCGUGCAGGAUGAAGGCCUUCGGGUUGUAAACUGCUUUUGUACGGAACGAAAGAGCUUCUCCUAAUACGAGAGGCCCAUGACGGUACCGUAAGAAUAAGCACCGGCUAACUACGUGCCAGCAGCCGCGGUAAUACGUAGGGUGCGAGCGUUAAUCGGAAUUACUGGGCGUAAAGCGUGCGCAGGCGGUUAUGUAAGACAGAUGUGAAAUCCCCGGGCUCAACCUGGGAACUGCAUUUGUGACUGCAUGGCUAGAGUACGGUAGAGGGGGAUGGAAUUCCGCGUGUAGCAGUGAAAUGCGUAGAUAUGCGGAGGAACACCGAUGGCGAAGGCAAUCCCCUGGGACCUGUACUGACGCUCAUGCACGAAAGCGUGGGGAGCAAACAGGAUAGAUACCCUGGAGUCCACGCCCUAAACGAUGUCAUCUGGGUUGUUGGGAAUUAGUUUCUCAGUAACGAAGCUAACG